AUUCGUCUUCGUGUCGCAGUUGCAUCUCGCAUAACUCGAAACAUUGACAAAGGAGGCAUGAAGAAAGGAGGAUAAUCGACAUCGUUGCCUGCGAUAUUGCUUCGAACAGACUGCGCGAAAAAAGAGCAGAGAUCGUCACUUAACGAAGAUCAUUUUUCCUCGUUCAAAGUCUCUCAACCCGAAAAGCGGGUUCAUUAUUGAUACGCCUCACCAUUUUGUCGACGCCUUAAUGCCCCUCCGCUCUUUAAUGACGGCGUUAAUAAGGAUGGUGCUGCGCUACUUACGUGCUAAAGGACGCGACGAGGACGGAGCCGGCCUGGAUCCUGCCUCUCUUCGGGCUACCAUCGACAUAAUCCGAGAACGGGAAGAAGCACGGGCAAAAAAGAGAAUCGAGAGAUGGAAGAAGAAGAAGAAGAAGAAGAAGAAGAAACAAGAGACGACCAUCCCUCGCUCUCUUUCUCUCUCUUUCUAACCGUUGCGUCCUUCAGGAAAGAAAAACGGAGAGACGGCGACCGGGAGAAGAAUGAAAAGGGAAAUGGAACGAAGUUGGCUAGCUCGAGGAAAGA